AAUAUCUAAUUAAAAUACAAGAGGAGUCCCUUAUUUGAGAUAUUAGGAAUUUGUUUUAGCAAUGCAGAAGUUGGAAUAGCAGAACUUACCGAGCAAUUCAGUAUUAUGUUUAAAUUGAAAUACCAAGAGAAUCGAGAAAGGAGAAAGAACAAAUGUGAUAUUAAAGUUGUGUGGGCUAUCAAAGUAUUGAACUUAUGUGUCAUACAACGACACUUCGGGGGGG
rnacentral:lncRNA from 1 species